rnacentral:sRNA from 1 species
AGAGAAGGUGACAGGUGGUUACGAACGAUUCAUAGACCCUGCAUUCCUGAGGCCAAGCUGUAGUAUCACCACAAGAUAUUAAUAAGCAAUUCUAUUUUGAGCCUCGCCAAAUGUCAAGCACCGUGCUAACUAAGCCCAUGACAUUCCUGUCCUAUUUAAUCUUCACAACCAUCUCCGUGAGGAAGAACGGGUAGCAAUCCCAUUUCACAAAUGAGAAAACCAAGGUUUCAAAAGACUAACAAUCGUGCUUGGUGUCACAAAUGGAUAGACAGGAUUUGAACUCUGGGAGCUGGUGUGAUUAGCAACCACUCUGUUGUAUCACCUCCCACUUUCUGGACAAACUGGAAAAGCUGUUAGGUGGCUGGGACAUCCAGAGACAGCUCCAUGGCCUGUCACCUCACAGGGGUGUCUAAAAGAUGGCAUCAGAACCAAAGUGACAACAAAGAAGGAGCUUAGGCCAGCUGCAAAAUACACCGAAUGUCGAGGAGGCAGACCCUCGAUGCUCCUGUCCCCUGUGCCCAAGCAUGGCUUCACUUGGAAACCAUAAGCAAGGGCCUAAAGAUACUGAGUUCACGUUCACCUCCAAAGCACAUUCGCCCCUGGGAAUUAACUCCUGGCCUUGUUCUCUUGCAAUCCUCGUUUUGAAACAUCGUUAGUUUCAUUAGCUUCCUCUUCUUCUUCCUUUUUUUUAAGAGCAAGCACAGAUGAGGUAAUGACGUAGGGGUCACAGAGGAACUAACAGAUAUUUGGAUGUCACUCCGGAGAUGAGGGAAAAGACACUUCAGCUGCUACAAAGGUAAAAAGAAUCUUGGAGCUGUGAAAACAUAGGGUUUCUCUACAGCCCCCUCAGAUAUCCAGAAUUAGCCUGGAGGCUAGACAGGUUCUAGGACCUCCCCAUGAGAAUGAAUGAAAAGACACAAAGGAUAAACAGAGCCUUACACAGCUGGUCCAGAAGGAGGCCUGUGUGUCACUGUGGAGGAAGGGAGAAGGCCAUUCCAUUCCAGCCCCACUUUCAAAACACAAAAUUCAAAGAUACAAUUCUAUGGGUGUGAUACUGCUGAAGUUUGUUCUGAGUGUAUGUACAAGUAUGUGUGUGUGUCCACACGUGUGUGCACAUGUGUGCAUACACGUGCACCACGCUCAGGUAUGGGGCCUGACCAUGGGCAGACAUGUAGAGGUCAGAGGAGGAUUUGGACUAUCCUCCGUAGCACUCCACCUUGUUUCUCUAAGGCAGGGUAUCUCCCUGCCCCCGGAACUCACGGUGUUUUAGCUUGGCUGAUCAGUAGCCAGUCCUGCCCAUCCUUCUGUCUCCACUCCUACCAGCACUAACUAGGGUUUCAAGUACAGGUGAGAUCACGCCUGGCUUUUUCCUCGGGAGCUGGGGAUUUGAACGCAGGUUCACACGUACAUAUCAAGCAAACGCUCUUCCUGAGUCAUCCCUUGUCCCUUCCCCACCAUGCUGCUUUUACAAUCAGUUAAAGAUCUCUCAACUUUAAAAAGAAAAAAAGAAAAAAACAAAACAAAACAAAAAACAAAAACAAAAAAAAAAAAACCAACAACAGUAGGCUCCAGAAAGAAACCAGCCGCAGCCUGAGUUUCACAUCCCUAAGUUACCAGGCAGAGUAGGCCGAGAAAAGAAGCCUGGAAAAGACCACAAUGUUUCUCAAGUCUCUGAAAGGUGUGUGUCUGGGAGACGGGGGACCCUGCAAGUGUCUGUGGCCCAUUUUUUGAGCUAUUCCGAGACGGCUGAUAUGGAGUGUUAUUCCUGGCAGUCAAACACCACUAAAUUGCUGCACCACGCUGAGUCAGGGUGAGAGGAGGAGGGAGAAGGGCGUGUGGCUGCAAGGCUCAUCCCAGAGAAAGGAGCCAACGAGACUGGGAGAGGGGGAGAUAGGAGGCACUUGCCUACCUAAGUCACAGAGUGCACAAGGCAGGUCCGCACACCCUGCCCCUGGCCUGGGUUCCUUCUGAGGAGCUCUGCAUCACCCCUUAAAUCCCCAGGGCUAUCAGCCUACAGCUACUGAGCAUCCAAGACUUCUGUGGUAUCGCCACAGCCAUUCUUCAGUAAAAAAUAAAUCUGCCACAGCUCUGAAGGCCAGGACUGAACACACAGCUGUAGGCCUGGGCCCUGGGCCAGCCCCACAGGAGGAGAUAAUGUCUGGAACCUAGCCCUGAAUGUCCCUUCCGUGUAUCCUCCCCGGCACUAUUCAGCCAACUCAGGGCCGGCUGACACCAAGCCUGGGAAGACUAAGCCCCUCCUUUCUUGGGCCUUUGUGCCUACAGACAGACCAUAGACACUUUGCAAGAUGGAUGAGCCUGGGACAGGAAACCGGCUCCCUUGAAUAGACAAGCAGACCACUCUACACAGCCAAGAGCAGCCACUCAGAAGGGUGUUCUGGGAAGACGAGGUCUACAUGGGUUGGGAAAUAACAAGGUCCCCAGGAAGAUUCCGGCCCAAAGUGGUUUAUCCAGAUCGGUAUGAACACGCAGUGGUGCACUGGCCACAGCGCAGAGCCUCGACAGAGAGACCAACAAGCAUGUAGUGUGAGUUCCCCUGUCCAAUGCAUCUGCAUAUGUGCAGCCCCCAAGUGCAACCCAUGCAGCAGAGGGAGGGUCCAGGGAAGGGGGAGGGGAGCUCUUCCUGCCACUCUCACUUCCGCAGGGGUCAAAGGUGGUGAAACAUUUCUUCAGACGAAGAUCUAUCAUUGUCCUUCCAGUCCACAGUUCAACGGCACUAAAAGGCCACAGGACUGGUAGACAAGUCAAGCGGGAGCAAAGCAAGACAGAAGCAGUUAUCAACAGAACGGGAAGGCCGAGGAGAUGCUCAAUCCAUUGACAACAAGAAAACUCAAGACUUAUAAGGAACAGUGUUGGAAAGGUGACUCAGCUCAUCAGUCCCCACAUAGCAGCUCCUAACUGUCCAUGGCUGCAGUCCUGGGGCAUCUGACACCCUCUUUCUGGCUUCACAGGCACCAGCACACAAGAGGUAUACAGACAGACAGACAAGACACACAUACAUACAAAAUAAUAAAAACAUAAAUCAAUACAUCCCAAAAA